rnacentral:lncRNA from 1 species
GCAUCGGGAUGGCUAUCGUAAAAGGCUAGUUUUUCUGGCUAUAGGCAGUGUCUCUAGAUCCAAAGAGAGCACACAGCUGUUCUUAAAACUGAAGGUAGUCAUGCCUGAGAUGAAAGAGAAUUCUGCUUGGGCAAGAGCUGUACGCAUAUGUAUAAAGCAGAAAAACCACACAGCGACCCCUCCCUGGUAGAAAUUGGAUCAAAACCAGAAUGAUCUGGCGAAAGGUAACCAGACCCAUGAAACAGUGGC